GAUGAACGCUGGCGGCGUGCCUAAUACAUGCAAGUCGAGCGAAGAGGGGACGGGUGAGGAACACGUGGAUAACCUCCUAUAGGACUGGGAUAACAUCGGGAAACCGGAGCUAAACCGGAUACUUAUAGAUGGAUACGCGCUGCAUUAGCUAGUUGGUAAGGUAACGGCUUACUAAGGAAACGAUGUAUAGCCGACCUGAGCGGGUGAUCGGCCACAUGGGAACGGAGCCACGGUCCAUACUCCUACGGGACGCCGCAGUAGGGAAUCUUCCGCAAUGGUCGAAAGCCUUACGGAGCAACGCCUCGUGAGUGACGAAGGCCUUCGGAUCGUAAAACUCUGUUAUUAGUGAAGCGGUACCUACUCAGAAAGCAACGGCUAACUACGUGCCAGCCGCCGCGGUAAUAC
rnacentral:rRNA from 1 species